rnacentral:rRNA from 1 species
UACGAAGGGGGGCUAGCGUUGCUCGGAAUCACUGGGCGUAAAGCGCACGUAGGCGGCUUUUUAAGUCAGGGGUGAAAUCCUGGAGCUCAACUCCAGAACUGCCUUUGAUACUGGGAAGCUUGAGUCCGGAAGAGGUGAGUGGAACUCCGAGUGUAGAGGUGAAAUUCGUAGAUAUUCGGAAGAACACCAGUGGCGAAGGCGGCUCACUGGUCCGGUACUGACGCUGAGGCGCGAAAAGCGUGGGGAGCAAACAGG